CUUGCUUAACAGCUCUCCCAGUCAUUUCAACAGGCAACAGGAGAAGGGGACAGAGCAAGCAGGAAUCUCAUGCCAUUAACUUGGAAAUGGCACUGAAGAUAGAAUUCCAAAGAAGUCAGCACCUUGACAGGUGGGAUCUCACUCUGUCACCCAGGCUUGAGUGCAGUGGUGCAAUCUCGGCUCACUGCAACCUCCACCUCCUAGGCUCAAGUGAUCCUCCUACCUCAGCUUCCCAAGCAGCUGGGACUGAGGUGUGCACCCCCACACUUGGCUAAUUGAAACACUUCCUUCUAUCACACAAAAAAGCAACAAGUAUCAUUUACAAAAAAUAUACUUUUUUUUUAAGAGGUGCAAUAAUUUCUCUCAGUAAAUUAAGUAAGUAAUAAAAAGUCUUUUGUGUUAAUGAUAA